AACGCUAGCUACAGGCUUAACACAUGCAAGUCGAGGGGCAGCAGGAGCAAAGCUUGCUUUGUUUGCUGGCGACCGGCGCACGGGUGCGUAACGCGUAUCGAACCUGCCCUAUACUCGGGGAUAGCCUUGCGAAAGUAAGAUUAAUACCCGAUGUUGUUAUUACAUCGCAUGAUGUUUUAACCAAAGAUUUAUCGGUAUAGGAUGGCGAUGCGUGACAUUAGGUAGUAGGUGAGGUAACGGCUCACCUAGCCUACGAUGUCUAGGGGUUCUGAGAGGAAGGUCCCCCACACUGGAACUGAGACACGGUCCAGACUCCUACGGGAGGCAGCAGUGAGGAAUAUUGGUCAAUGGACGCAAGUCUGAACCAGCCAAGUAGCGUGAAGGAUGACUGCCCUAUGGGUUGUAAACUUCUUUUGCCGUAGAACAAAACAUGCCACGUGUGGCAUUUUGCGUGUAUACGUUGAAUAAGCAUCGGCUAACUCCGUGCCAGCAGCCGCGGUAAUACGGAGGAUGCGAGCGUUAUCCGGAUUUAUUGGGUUUAAAGGGAGCGUAGACGGGAUGUUAAGUCAGUUGUGAAAGGCUGCGGCUCAACCGCAGCACUGCAGUUGAUACUGGCGUCCUUGAGUGCGGUUGAGGUGUAUGGAAUUCGUGGUGUAGCGGUGAAAUGCUUAGAUAUCACGAAGAACUCCGAUUGCGAAGGCAGUACACUAAGCCGCUACUGACGUUGAGGCUCGAAAGUGUGGGUAUCAAACAGGAUUAGAUACCCUGGUAGUCCACACGGUAAACGAUGAAUACUCGCUGUUGGCGAUAUACGGUCAGCGGCCAAGCGAAAGCAUUAAGUAUUCCACCUGGGGAGUACGCCGGCAACGGUGAAACUCAAAGGAAUUGACGGGGGCCCGCACAAGCGGAGGAACAUGUGGUUUAAUUCGAUGAUACGCGAGGAACCUUACCCGGGCUUAAAUUGCACUGGACAGGCCAAGAGAUUGGCCCUUCUUCGGACCAGUGUGAAGGUGCUGCAUGGUUGUCGUCAGCUCGUGCCGUGAGGUGUCGGCUUAAGUGC
rnacentral:rRNA from 1 species